rnacentral:rRNA from 1 species
AUUAAACGCUGGCGGCAUGCCUUACACAUGCAAGUCGAACGGCAGCACGGGGGCAACCCUGGUGGCGAGUGGCGGACGGGUGAGUAAAGCAUCGGAACGUAUCCUGGAGUGGGGGAUAACGUAGCGAAAGUUACGCUAAUACCGUAUGAGCCCCGAGAGGGGGAAAGAUUUAUCGCCUUGGGAGCGGCCCGCGUCGGAUUAGCUAGUUGGUGGGGUAACGGCCUACCAAGGCUUCGAUCCGUAGCUGGUCUGAGAGGACGAUCAGCCACACUGGGACUGAGACACGGCCCAGACUCCUACGGGAGGCAGCAGUGGGGAAUCUUGCGCAAUGGGGGGCAACCCUGACGCAGCCAUGCCGCGUGAACGAUGAAGGCCUUAGGGUUGUAAAGUUCUUUACCGUGACGAUGAUGACGGUAACGGGGGAAUAAGCUCCGGCUAACUUCGUGCCAGCAGCCGCGGU